rnacentral:rRNA from 1 species
GACGAACGCUGGCGGCGCGCUUAACACAUGCAAGUCGAGCGAGAACCAGGCUUCGGCCUGGGGAAAGCGGCGAACGGGUGAGUAACACGUGGGUAACCCACCCUUGGCACUGGGAUAGCCCGAGGAAACUCGGAUUAAUACCGGAUGGCCCAACAGCUCUUCGGAGCGGUUGGAAAAGGUAGCUUCGGCUUCCGGCCAAGGACGGGCCCGCGGCGGGUUAGCUUGUUGGGGGGGUAACGGCCCACCAAGGCGACGAUCCGUAGCUGGUCUGAGAGGACGAUCAGCCACACUGGGACUGGGACACGGCCCAGACUCCUACGGGAGGCAGCAGUGGGGAAUCUUGCGCAAUGGGCGAAAGCCUGACGCAGCGACGCCGCGUGGGGGAAGAAGGCUUUCGGGUUGUAAACCCCUUUCAGGAGGGACGAAGCCACUCGGGUGAAUAGCCCAGAGGGUGACGGUACCUCCAGAAGAAGCCCCGGCUAACUACGUGCCAGCCGCCGCAGUAA